GAACAGAGCACCCUCAGGUGCCUCCUCUCCGCCUUCUCCUGUGUUUUGCAUGGGAAAGCCCUGGGGGAGUAGCAAGGAAUGGAGAAACAGACCUGGAGAAGGGCCAAAGCUGGAAUAUAUUUUGGGCCCAAGUUGACCCAGAUACUGGAGGGCCAGAGAAAGCAAGCUUGAAACAGAGAGGAACGGGUCACUUUGGUGGAGGAAAUUGGGGUUUGGGCCCCAGGGGUAGAGCUGGGGGUUGGAUAAGGGUAAGACUGCACAGGGGCCAGAUGGGCUGGUUUGGAGAAGGGUAAUGAGAUCCCAGGAAGAGAGAGGAACCGUGCCACAUGACUCAGCCACCAAGCAGCCCUAUGGAGAGGCCAAUGUGGAGAGAAACUGAGGCCUUCCACCAAAAGCCAGCACCAACUUGCUAUCCAUGUGAGUGAACCAGCUUGCAGUACAGAGUGGUCAACCCCAGUCAAGCUUUCAGAUAACUACAAGCCUAGUUGACAUCUUGACUACAACUUCAAGAGAGACAUCAAGGCAGAACUGCUUCGCUAAACUGCUCUUGAAUUCUUGACCCACAGAAACUGAGAGAGAGAAUAAAUAUUUAUUGUUGUUUCAAGUAACUACAUCCUGGGGGUAACUUCUUAUGUAUAGAUAAUAUAUACCAUA
rnacentral:lncRNA from 1 species